GUCAUAGUAAUUGGUCAGCCGUGUCCACUUCUGUUCUGAGAGCCAAGGCUUGAUCAAUCAGGGGAGAAACCCAGACCCAGGGUGGAAGGAGCCGGCAAUUUCACAUUAGGCUGAGCUGAAUAGCACACGAAGAGAUGGGCAAUCUGGAAGGGACUGAAAAUGGAGUUAAGGAGUCCUAGCGUGACAAAAAGGCUGAAUUCCGUGUGAAUCCUUCUGAGACACAGCUUCUAAUAAAGGCCAGCAAAUGGAAUGUUCACAGAUGCCUUAAGCUCCAAUUCAGAUACGAGGAGACAAAGCCACUGAGAGGCUGAUUUUGCUCGAGGUUGCACAGCAGAAAAGAACAAAAGGGAAAUGAAGAGAAAACACCCCAGGAAUAUGACGUGUCCAGCUUCCAAGCCCAGCAUCUCUCCCUCAGCCACUCAGCAACAGUGAUCACUUGGCUCCCUGCCAUCCUCCAAGGUCUUCCAGUUUCCAGCAAAGACCACCAGCCAGCCCUGGCUCUGCCUUGAUCACCUCCUGUUUCUGCCCAAAGUGGAGGAAGCCCUGUUAGCCAAGGGAUCUUCACUUGCCAGGCUCCAAGGUAGCAAUAAACACA